rnacentral:rRNA from 1 species
CCCUUAGAUGUUCUGGGCUGCACGCGCGCUACAAUGGUCUUCGCAAACGGAUGCAUUCUCGAAGGAGAAUGCCAAUCUUGGAAUCUAUGCCUUGGUCGGGACAGUUGCUUGCAAUUUUUCGACUCGAACCAGGAAUUCCCUGUAAUCGUGAUUCAUCACAUCACGAUGAAUACGUCCCUGCCCUUUGUACACACCGCCCGUCGCUCCUACCGAUCGAAGAGUUAGGUGAAUUGUUUUGAUCGAUAAGAUUUGACUAUGGUCAACUCUCGUUGUGAAAUUCUGUGAAUCUGACUGUUUAGAGGAAGGAAAAGUCGUAACA